GGACUACUCGGGUAUCUAAUCCUGUUCGCUCCCCACGCUUUCGCUCCUCAGCGUCAGUUUCGGCCCAGAGACCCGCCUUCGCCACCGGUGUUCCUCCUGAUAUCUGCGCAUUUCACCGCUACACCAGGAAUUCCAGUCUCCCCUACCGAACUCUAGUCUGCCCGUAUCGACUGCAGGCCCGAGGUUGAGCCUCGGGUUUUCACAGCCGACGUGACAGACCGCCUACGAGCUCUUUACGCCCAAUAAUUCCGGACAACGCUUGCACCCUACGUAUUACCGCGGCGGCUGGCAC
rnacentral:rRNA from 1 species